rnacentral:tRNA from 1 species
GGCUCUUUGGUCUAGGGGUAUGAUUCUCGCUUAGGGUGUGAGAUGUCCCGGUUCAAAUCCCGGAUGAUCCC